AGGACGAACGCUGGCGGCGUGGAUUAGGCAUGCAAGUCGCGCGACAGACAAGGGCUUGCCCUUGUUAUGGAGCGGCGAACGGGUGAGUAACACGUGAAUAACCUGCCCUCACAUUCCGGAUAAUUGGCCGAAAGGCCUUGUAAUACGGGGGAGGAUUCUUCUGGGGCAUCUCAGAAGAAGGGAAGGCGCAAGCCGUGCGAGGAGGGGUUCGCGGAUUAUCAGGUAGUUGGUGGGGUAACGGCCUACCAAGCCGACGACGAUUAGCUGGU
rnacentral:rRNA from 1 species